UGUUCUUGAUGAAAAUCAUGCAUGUCAACUGAUCCAGAAUCCCCCCUGUGCCCCUCAAGGGCCAGUUGGCAUUCUGUCAGCUGCUUGUUAGAAUGGCCUCUGGGCUCCCUGGGCGUGAUCUGACUGUAAAGCU
rnacentral:snoRNA from 1 species